rnacentral:rRNA from 1 species
AGUGGCGGACGGGUGAGUAACGCGUAAGAAUCUAACUUCAGGACGGGGACAACAGUGGGAAACGACUGCUAAUACCCGAUGUGCCGCGAGGUGAAACCUAAUUGGCCUGAAGAAGAGCUCGCGUCUGAUUAGCUAGUUGGUGGGGUAAGAGCCUACCAAGGCGACGAUCAGUAGCUGGUCUGAGAGGAUGAGCAGCCACACUGGGACUGAGACACGGCCCAGACUCCUACGGGAGGCAGCAGUGGGGAAUUUUCCGCAAUGGGCGAAAGCCUGACGGAGCAACGCCGCGUGAGGGAGGAAGGUCUUUGGAUUGUAAACCUCUUUUCUCAAGGAAGAAGUUCUGACGGUACUUGAGGAAUCAGCCUCGGCUAACUCCGUGCCAGCAGCCGCGGUAAUACGGGGGAGGCAAGCGUUAUCCGGAAUUAUUGGGCGUAAAGCGUCCGCAGGUGGUCAGCCAAGUCUGCCGUCAAAUCAGGUUGCUUAACGACCUAAAGGCGGUGGAAACUGGCAGACUAGAGAGCAGUAGGGGUAGCAGGAAUUCCCAGUGUAGCGGUGAAAUGCGUAGAGAUUGGGAAGAACAUCGGUGGCGAAAGCGUGCUACUGGGCUGUAUCUGACACUCAGGGACGAAAGCUAGGGGAGCGAAAGGGAUUAGAUACCCCUGUAGUCCUAGCCGUAAACGAUGGAUACUAGGCGUGGCUU